rfam:Schistosoma mansoni strain Puerto Rico chromosome 3, complete genome
CAAUGCUGAGAAGUCCCAUAAUAGGACGAAACGGUCGUCCAGUGC